rnacentral:misc_RNA from 1 species
AAGAAAAAAAAAAGGAGGCAGAGAGCACAGCUGGGGAUAUAUCCAAGAACAAGAUAAAAUCUAGCCAUAGAGAAAUAACUCAAAAAGGAGAUUUGAGGCAUCUCAAUUACCUACCUGCUUAUGGUAAACUAAGUGUAUCCUCAACAAUUCGUUUUUCUUUUUCCCAUUCUCAUUCAAUGCUCAACAGAAGAUAACAUAUACAUGCUAUAGAAUGGCAGUGUAAGAUAUUUCUUAUGUGCUGGGCCCUAAAUCUCUUCAUCAUUACCCAUAUUUGCUCCAUAACUUUAACCUCCUGACCUAGUUUACAAAGGUAAACAUGAAGAUAUAGAAGUAACUAGCUAGCUAUAAUUUAACUCCACCUAUGUGAGCUUAGUAAAACAUUGCCGGUCCCAAGCUCGAAUAAAGGAAGAGGGUUGCGAUAGGUGACAACCA